UACGGAGGGUGCAAGCGUUGUCCGGAUUUAUUGGGUUUAAAGGGUGCGUAGGCGGCCUUGUAAGUCGGUGGUGAAAGCCUCCAGCUCAACUGGAGAACUGCCAUUGAUACUGCAAGGCUUGAGUACAGACGAGGUUGGCGGAAUUGAUUGUGUAGCGGUGAAAUGCAUAGAUACAAUCAAGAACUCCGAUUGCGUAGGCAGCUAACUAGGCUGUAACUGACGCUGAGGCACGAAAGCGUGGGGAGCGAACAGG
rnacentral:rRNA from 1 species